rnacentral:rRNA from 1 species
UACGAAGGGGGCGAGCGUUGUUCGGAUUUACUGGGCGUAAAGGGCGCGCAGGCGGCUCAUUUUGUCAGGCGUGAAAGCCCCGGGCUUAACCUGGGAACUGCGUUUGAUACGGAUGGGCUAGAGUUCGGGAGAGGAGAGUGGAAAGUUCCCAGUGUAGAGGUGAAAUUCGUAGAUAUUGGGAAGAACACCGAUGGCGAAGGCAGCCCCCUGGGUUAACACUGACGCUCAGGCACGAAAGCGUGGGGAGCAAAC